UUACAAUGGCAGGUACAGAGGGGUGCUACCGGGUGACCGGAUGCCGAUCUCGAAAACCUGUCCCAGUUCGGACUGGAGUCUGCAACCCGACUCCACGAAGUUGGAUUCGCUAGUAAUCGCGCAUCAGCCAUGGCGCGGUGAAUACGUUCCCGGGCCUUGUACACACCGCCCGUCAAGCCAUGGGAGCCGGGGGCGCCUGAAGUCCGGGACCGCGAGGACCGGCCUAAGGCGAAACUGGUGACUGGGGCUAAGUCGUAACAAGGUAGC
rnacentral:rRNA from 1 species